rnacentral:rRNA from 1 species
GUAGGUGGCAAGCGUUGUCCGGAAUUAUUGGGGCGUAAAGCGCGCGCAGGCGGUUCUUUAAGUCUGAUGUGAAAGCCCACGGGCUCAACCGUGGAGGGUCAUUGGAAACUGGAGAACUUGAGUACAGAAGAGGAAAGCGGAAUUCCACGUGUAGCGGUGAAAUGCGUAGAGAUGUGGAGGAACACCAGUGGCGAAGGCGGCUUUCUGGUCUGUAACUGACGCUGAGGCGCGAAAGCGUGGGGAGCAAACAGGAUUAGAUACCCUGGUAGUCCACGCCGUAAACGAUGAGUGCUAAGUGUUAGGGGGCUUCCGCCCCUUAGUGCUGCAGCUAACGCAUUAAGCACUCCGCCUGGGGAGUACGGCCGCAAAGGCUG